CAGCAGCCACGGGAAUACGAAGGGGGCUAGCGUUGUUCGGAUUUACUGGGCGUAAAGGGCGCGUAGGCGGACUGAUAAGUCAGGGGUGAAAUCCCAAGGCUCAACCUUGGAACUGCCUUUGAUACUGUUUGUCUUGAGUUCGAGAGAGGUAAGUGGAACUGCGAGUGUAGAGGUGAAAUUCGUAGAUAUUCGCAAGAACACCAGUGGCGAAGGCGGCUUACUGGCUCGAAACUGACGCUGAGGCGCGAAAGCGUGGGGAGCAAACAGGAUUAGAUACCCGAGUAGUCCCUGUCUCUUAUAC
rnacentral:rRNA from 1 species